rnacentral:rRNA from 1 species
GACGAACGCUGGCGGCGUGCUUAACACAUGCAAGUCGAACGGAAAGGCCCUGCUUUUGUGGGGUGCUCGAGUGGCGAACGGGUGAGUAACACGUGAGUAACCUGCCCUUGACUUUGGGAUAACUUCAGGAAACUGGGGCUAAUACCGGAUAGGAGCUCCUGCUGCAUGGUGGGGGUUGGAAAGUUUCGGCGGUUGGGGAUGGACUCGCGGCUUAUCAGCUUGUUGGUGGGGUAGUGGCUUACCAAGGCAUUGACGGGUAGCCGGCCUGAGAGGGUGACCGGCCACAAUGGGACUGAGGUACGGCGCAGACGCCUAUGGGAGGCAGCAGGGGGGAAUAUUGCACAGUGAGCGGAAGCCUGUGGCAGCAACGCCGCGUGCGGAAUGACGGCCUGCUGGUUGUAAACCGCUUUCGCCUGUGACGAAGCGUGACUGACGGUAAUGGGUAAAUAAGCACCGGCUAACUACGUG